AGGGUAAGCAUCUUUCACGGUAAGUUGAUUUAGCUUUCGGGCGUCCAAACAGAAUCGUUUUUUGUUUGGUUUCCAAACCAACGUCGACCGAUUGCUCCAUGGACUAUCGCUAUCUUCAAUAACUCCUAACUCUAGCAUUUUGUCCACCUCGGCCCAGACCACUUCCUGUAUCGCUGGAGAUUUAGGAUAGUGUCGAUCCUUGAAGGGUUUAGCGCCCUCUACCAACUGGAUCCGAUGCUUCUUUACCGUCGUUAUUCAUACCUUCAGAACCUCUUCCUUCUCCACUAACAGUUGCAACUCUGGCUCUAUCUUCUCCACUCGCUUUCCGGAUGAAUGAAACUUCGGCGCCGAGCGAUAAGCUGACUUCUGCUCCCGUCUGCGAAAGUGGUGCUCCACCUCCAAGCACUCUUCUCUCAAGAUUCCGGACUCGGAUUGCGUAAACAUACCGAGUGAUCUCAUUAUCGAGUCCAUUUUUUCUCGACGGAUCGCUCUAAAAUAUUCCUCCACAGAUUCUCCAGAUUUCUGUCGGCGCUCGUGCAAAGCGCGUAGCCGCUCAAAAUCGCCACCUACGGCUCGGAACCUUGUCACCAACUCGUCUUUCAAGUCUUCCUAUACGUUUGGAGGGCGCUCGCGGAUAAAUUGCCAAUUCCAUUCGGCUGCCUGUCCUUUGACAAGAUGGUAGAAAUUAUCCAGGACUUCAUCCCACGAUCGUUCUGCCUACGUAGGAACUCGACCCGGAAGACGAAAUCUUCCACCGUCAUCUUGUUCGGAUCUGGAUCACCGUAGAAGUGGAUGUCCCACUUGUCCACACGUCCCAUCUGGAGCCUCUCCAAUCAUCUCUCCUUUCCUCUGGGGAUGUGAACCUCCGACUUGAUGGCUAGCGAUUCUGCCUUCCAGCGCUUGGAACUGGUUCCUCGAUAUCCAUUCUCCGGAACCAGUGUUGGCUCAACUUCUCCGGCUUCCUUGGAGGCUGCGAGGGAUUCUGGACAACAUCGUCCCUGGACAGUUUGGGCCUGAUCCCGGUACUUGCCCUCUGCGUGUACUCUUCUGGACAUUGUUGAUAGCCGCCAUCAUGUAUAUUGGCAACACCUCCGGUCUGGCCUCUUCCUGAUCCCAUCUCCUGGAUCAUCUCCACGUUCUGGCCCAGGGGCGUCAUUGCCUCUGCUAUGGCACCCAUCAGCUCCAUAAAGCCGCGACGUAUCUCCUCUUGCAGCGUCCUGCUGAUGGUGUCUGCCAUGGCUCCUCUCUGCGUCUCCUGAGCUUGCGCAAUGACGACAUUUAUCCCAGAGACUAUUUUUGAGGGCAGUGCUCUCGGAUUUCCUGGCAAGUUCCAGCUGUCCUCUUUACCUCUCAGCGCCCUGGGUAUCGCCGCCUUACAUCUGCUCUCUGAGGUUUCCUGGCGGAGGAGUCCUGCGGAUCAUUUUCGGCUUGCUCUUUAACCCCACUCUUCCUAACUACCACAAACUUCCAAAAUAUACUUCUAAACAAUGUUUUUCUCUAUAUUUUUUUUCCACAGAACAAAAUCGUAUAUCACCUCCCGACUGAUCUUCAACGCAAUAUACAAACAAAAAUAAUAAAGGGGGAAAGGAACGUUUUUUACGGGGUAUUGUAGCUCCUCCGAGUGCUACGCGUGGCCGACUCUUGUCCCCACGGGCCACUGAGAACAAAAAUCUCUUCGAUACUACCCUCUCGAUCCCAUUCAGAGGAAUUCUUUUUUCCAGGCUCUCACUUUUCGCACACCAGGAAUCGGGAUGGGUGCUAACUGGCGUCAGGAUUCUCCUUUGCCAGUGCCACCCCAAGUCACCAACUUUGAGAUCCUGCUUCCCGUUGUCAGAUAAAUCCCUCAGCGCCGUGCUUCUGCAAGCCAACUUAUACCGCCACCGGAACUCCGACGGACCAGACUGCAAUAUACCACUCAUGAUCGUUCCUGUCAGCUGGACAUGUAUACUUUUCUCGACCUGCGUAUGAUUCACAUCCGUACUCUCCCACAUUUGUGGGCGAGCAAGGACUGCGAAUCCAACUUCUGUCUCAGGUUGGGCGCCAUUAUUGUUACGAACCUUUGGCUGGGUGUUUACCAAGCUCUCAGGUCGAAAACAAAACCAACAAAUUGGAAAUCUCAAACAAAACGACAAUUCAAAACAAAUGGACUCUACUCAACAAAAUAACGAACACACUCCUCUUCGACAGAGCCGUGGACCAGCUGAGUCUCUAACAUCCCCGCCCUACCUGAGAUCUGGAUCUGGACAUUCCAGAUCUCCCUGCCAUGUGCAGCAGCCUUUCUACCAACUCGCCGUUGUGGGUCCCCUCUCCCUCAUACGAAACAACUAGCAAUUGAUUUCUUCGUUAUAAUUCUUCCGCCUCUUAGCUUAAUACAAUGGGGUAGAUAUUAUAUAAUUAAAUAAAU